rnacentral:rRNA from 1 species
UACAAGUACCCGUGAGGGAAAGUUGCAAAGCACUUUGAAGAGAGAGUUAAAGAGGACGUGAAACCGGUGAGGUGGAAACGGACAGAGCCGGCGUAUCUGGCCCGCAUUCAGCUGUGCGCUCGUCAGCUUCGGCCGACCGCCUCCAGAUUGGGGCGGCCAGCCGUUUGCUGGCGGGCUUGCAGUGCAUUUGCGGGUGGAGUGCGCCGAGACGCUCGGGGCAGCGGCACAAGCUCGGUUCAGAGGCCAACUUGUUUGGAACCCGUGCCGCGGGGAGUGCUGUUUGCUCUGGGUGAGCAGUUGGGGCGGUGGUUUCGGGCCCGGGUGGGUGCCGAGCCGGUGGUCGGUGGCGGUCGCAUGCGACACGUACCGGCGCCCGGUUCGGUCCUGCUCGAGCUCUCAACCGUGCGUUCUCGGUGUAAAAGCCGGUCAUCUGUCCGACCCGUCUUGAAACACGGACCAAGGAGUUUAGCGUGUGCGCGAGUCAUUGGGCGUUGAAAACCCAGCGGCGCAAUGAAAGUGAAGGUCUCCCUCGUUGGAGCUGACGUGUGAUCCUGGCCACCGCGGUGUGCCGGGCGCAACAUGGUCCCGUUCUGGCCGCAUGCGGCGGGGCGGAGACAGAGCGUACGCGCUGAGACCCGAAAGAUGGUGAACUAUUCCUGAGCAGGACGAAGCCAGAGGAAACUCUGGUGGAAGUCCGAAGCGAUUCUGACGUGCAAAUCGAUCGUCUGACUUGGGUAUAGGGGCGAAAGACUAAUCGAACCAUCUAGUAGCUGUUUUCCUCCCGAA